rnacentral:rRNA from 1 species
UGGGGAAUAUUGCACAAUGGGCGCAAGCCUGAUGCAGCAACGCCGCGUGAGGGACGACGGCCUUCGGGUUGUAAACCUCUUUUAGUAGGGAAGAAGCGAAAGUGACGGUACCUGCAGAAAAACGCACCGGCUAACUACGUGCCAGCAGCCGCGGUAAUACGUAGGGUGCGAGCGUUGUCCGGAAUUAUCGGGCGUAAAGAGCUCGUAGGCGGUCUGUCGCGUCUGCUGUGAAAAUCCCGAGGCUCAACCUCGGGCCUGCAGUGGGUACGGGCAGACUAGAGUGCGGUAGGGGAGAAUGGAAUUCCUGGUGUAGCGGUGGAAUGCGCAGAUAUCAGGAGGAACACCGAUGGCGAAGGCAGUUCUCUGGGCCGUAACUGACGCUGAGGAGCGAAAGCGUGGGGAGCGAACAGGAUUAGAUACCCUGGUAGUCCACGCCGUAAACGUUGGGCGCUAGAUGUGGGGCACCAUUCCACGGUUUCCGUGUCGCAGCUAACGCAUUAAGCGCCCCGCCUGGGGCAGUACGGCCGCAAGGCUAAAA